UAUGGUUUGCAUUGUAGGGGGCGGGGAAGGGGGAUGGUGUCUUGUAUGUUAUAUACUGAAGGUCAAUUGGUCAAAGUUCAAAUCAUGGGUACCAUACAUUCAUGGCUAAAUUAGAACGAUAAUGUAUAUUCACUGUAAAUUACUGAUUUUAAGGUCAUAUAUCGUCAAGUUUAAGGUUAAGUGCAGGGGCGGAUCCAGCCAUUUUAAAAGGGGGUUCCAACUAUAUGUCCCCAUUUAAAUGCAUUGAUCGCCCCAAAUGCGGGCCAACCCCCGGAACCCUCCUCCUGGAUCCGCCACUGGAGUGCAAUUUGUUCAACUUGAUAGGUAUAGGCGUAAAUCAGAUUUUAUUUUCGUAUUUCUGAUACCUUAAAACAUGUUGAAAACUCAGUGGAUCUGACAACACGUGCGGGACUGCGGUAUGCAAAAUUAGAAUCUAUGUAUGUAAAAUCUUCAUUGUACAUUUCCUAUGUGAAAUUUAAGUCUCUUUGACACAUUCCCCGUUUCCGUUAAUUGAUGUUGCAGGCGUUGCACAAAGUGUAUGUUUAAAGUAGAACAAUGUCUUUGCUCUUUCAUUCAUAUGGAAUUACAAAUAUGUUUUACGGUUGAUGCC
rnacentral:lncRNA from 1 species